CAAUCAGAGACCCCUUGACAACAAAAUCAAAAUCCAUUAACGCCUUUGCUUUUUUAAAUUAAAUAUUCAAAUAUCAGCCUCAUUAUUAAAAUAUGUACUAUAAUAUCCUGGUUGUUUAUCCAUAAAAUAGUCAUAAUAAUAAUCCUGUAUUAUCCACCAGUGGUGGACAAAUUACCCAACUUCAUUACUUAAGUCAAAGCACAGAUCCCACUGGUUAAAUGUUACUCCGAUACAAGUGAAAGCUGUACAGUCAAAUUUUUACUUAAGUACUGAAGUACUUGCUUUUAAAAAUACUUGAGUAUUAAAAGUACAUUUGUCAAUGCAUUGUUGUAUUAUUGCCACAACACUUACAAAACCUAACGCCUCUGAAGCAACCGACUAGCUUUACAAAAUGAACACAUGCUGUGCCAUCAUGGUGGUUUAACGUUAAGCUAGCUAGUCAGUGAAGCUCCACCUCACAUGCUAGCAAACUCUUUUCAAACCCGAUCAUAUUGGGUAGCAAACGCUACUAGAAAAAGAUUUCUACAUUCUGUUUAUUUGGCAAGAUUGUGCUAAAACAUUUCUGAAAGGACUUCAGAUAAGUUAACGUUAUUCAUGUUAGCGUAACUCCGUUUUUACAUGCUAACUAACAGUGUCCAAGUUAACUAGCUAUGUGUUAACGUUAGCCGUAGACAAGACAAUGGCAACUUGGCAGGCAAAUCCAUAGAAAGUCCUUUGACUAACCAGACUGCACAGCUAUUGCAACAUUAUCGCUAGCUCUAAAAGCACAGACACAGGCAUGAAAACGGGUCAGGGGUGAAAAAGGUGAGAAGGGUGCGCGAGUGGUGACGUGGCCUCUGGUGUUGUUUUAUUUUGUUUGGGGGGUCCUCCCCCAGAAUAAAUAUUAUAGCCUCCUUACUAAGUAUACUGUAUUGACAUUUGCACAAGGACCUACAGUACAAAUACAUUUAGUUAUAGUGAAAUUAUGCCCUGGAAAAAAAUGUGAAUAAUAGAACGAAGAAAGUGGAGAACACGCAAGGAAUAGUGAUUUUUUUUUCCUUUUAUUUGCCUGGACCACCAGUGUUUCCAUGGCCCGCUUUCGCUGAGUUGCCACAUGUUUCAGCCUUGCCUGCUUCUCUCCUUCAGCAGUCGGUUUCUUGGCCUGCUGAGCACCGCAAGUUGCUUGAGAGCCAUACUUGCUCUGCUGCUGCUGCUUUUCCUCCUUGUUCACCCUUUGCUGGUGUUUGUAUGUGGCUGCUGCAGAGUUAAUGUUCUUACACAAUGUUCUGUCCACUUCCCCAAACUUCACGUCCUCUCUUCUAAAGAGCUGCAUAGCUGUCUUCCCCCCGGACAUCAGCGUCUACUUGACCGUCUGUAUUGCAUUAAAUGUUUCCACAUUCAUGUUGCCACUCCUUUGAUCAAUUACAUCAUUCAUCAGACUAAAUGAGGACUCGACUCUAGGUCCAUGAAAGAUGGAGAGGCAACACUUAACCAGUGCACCCAGGGAGGGGUACUUGUCUGGUUUGUCGAAGACAUGACCCCACCACUCCACGAUGCUCUCUCCCUCCUUGAAGCUGGGGAUGGUCAGGUCAACACUGAACCGCACAAGUUCCCUCUGGAUAUCCUGGCCUGCUGGCAAGAGGUGCCCCAGCAUACCACUCAGCCUGCCGAGAUAUGGAAGUACCUGCAGCUUUCAGUUCUUUUUAAAUCAAGGCUGAAUACUUUCUUCUUUGCUGCUGUCUUUUAUUAAAUCAAAUUUGAGACUUUUAAUUUGAUUUCUUUCAGCACGGACAGCACUACAAAAUGGCGUCUCCAUUAUACAGUGCCCUAUAUAGUGAGUAGCGAGCAAUUUCGGACACAGGGAUUGUCAAAAGACGCGCGCGCCCUCUUUCGAAUGCUGACGUAAUCAAGCCGGAAGUUUUGUUUGUUUUGAUGGCAAAUCAGGAAAGUUUGAAAAAAGUAGGAAAUUCAGUCCGAUGACUCAAUCCAGCUUCCAGCGGUCUGGUCUGCACUCUGACUGAUGCGUGCACGCUCUGGCCAGCAGGAGAAGAGGCGCGAAAUGAUGCUGCUUGCCCUUCGCAGCGAGAUGUACUCAUCGCUAUGGCGUCAAUAUCAAAGCAGGAGGAGGAGGCGCAAACCGUCACGAACUGUCUAUGGGUGCGAAGCGACCUCCUUGCCCUUUGGGUCAAUAUCAAACACCACCACCCACCCCAAUUUUUUUUUCUCAUCGGAUCUACACAAUUCACGUAGGUCACCCAUUUUGGUUUCAAAACGGCGAAUUUCGCCGAAAGGAGGUGGGAGGAAAGCAGAGACCCUGGAUGAAACCCACAAGGACGCUGGGAGAACAUCUGAAACUCCACACAGACAGUAAUUCGAACCGGGCAUCUGGAGCUGUGAGGUGGAAAUGCUCCAUGCACCAAUCAUACAACAGUGGUGGACCUCAUCAGCAACAACGACGACUUGGACUACAGAGAGGAGGUAAACCAACUCAUUGCCUGGUGUGAUGACGACAAUCUGCAACUGAACAUCAACAAAACAAAGGAGAUCACGGUUCAGAUCACGGUUCACCUCAUACCCCACUCGCCAUCCGUGGCAGCACUGUGGAGUCUGUGAAAAGCACCAAGUUCCUGGGGGUGUAUAUCACAGACGACCUAACAUGGACUACUAACACCACCUCCCUUGUCAAGGGGGCACAGCAACGCCUACAAUUCCUGCGACGGAUGAUGAGAGCGGACCUUCCACCCCCUGUCCUCACAACUUUUUACAGAGGCGCCACUGAGAGUAUCCUUACCAGCAGCCUCUGUCUUGCCAGCAGCCGACCGGAGGGCCCUCCAAAGAGUGGUGAAGACAGCAGGAAAAGAUCACCAGAACAUCCCAAACACCCAUACAAGAGCUGUACCAGUCACACUGCAGCAACAGAGCCAUCAGUAUAAUCAAAGACCCCACCCAUCCUGCACAUGGUCUGUUCUCCCUUCUACCUUCAGGUAAACGCUACCAAAGUUCACGGUACAAGACUGCCAGACUCAGCAAUAGACCUCUUGCAGCCACGUGACCGGAAUGUAAACAGCCGCCAUCUUGUCGGUAAAAAACACAGCUGAAUACUGCUGCACUCGUAUACAAAAUGGAUCAAUUUCAACCGACGGACUACACGGCUCAUUUUUCUAAUGAACAGAUAACUAGAUAUAUGUCUAAAAUAAACGACCUACAGAUUAGUGACCCUUAUCGCUUACCGGACGUAGUUUUCACAACCGUCUCAGUGGAUAUUGAACUGCCAGCGGAAUACCCAGAUGUGUAUAAUUACCUCAUUGACUUUCCCUCACUGUUCAGUGGUGAAGCACUGCGUGCUUAUAAAUCUCUGGACAGUUAUCUUUACAGAAAUUCAGGAUUUGUCAGCCCCCCUCAGAUGUGGCAUCUUGUAAACAAGAAAAUAACAAUCCUCAUUGGACGGGUAAGUCACUUAAGUAUUGAGACCCCGCUGGUCUCGCCAUCUCGUCCGGAAUGUUGUGCAUGCGAUGGAAAUCGCUACAAACCGUCAUUUUCUGCUGGAAACCAAUGUUAGAUCAAGUAUCAGUAGUCCAUCACUAUUACUGUAUAUAUGGUAUACCUGAUAGCAGCAAUCCAUUUUGCACGCCUGUCAGGGUCCCGUGGCAGCCUACUGUCAAGUGUAUGUGAGCAUCAUGGGUUUCCCACACUUGAAAGGGAAGGACUCGGACACAGGAUUCCACUCGUCUUAUGUUUUAUUGAUUUUCAGUGGAGUUGACGUUGUAGUAGAAUUGUAUAUAGUAGGGUUUUCCAGAAGAAAAGGCAGAAGUAGAAGCAGAAGUAGAAGGCAGAAAUAUGGCGUUUGACCGACAAGGUGGCGUCUGUUUACAAUCUGGAUCGGAUGUGAUGUCACAUGCAAGUGCUCCAUAGCUUCUUCCCACAAGCCAUCAGAAUACUUAACACAUUUAAAAAGUUCACAUGAACAUGAUGGACUCAGGACUGUUGGACCCAUUAACAUACACAGACUGUUACAACUGAUGACCUCCUUAACGCACAUACAGAUUGUUGAAACGCUGCUAUCCGCUACAAUAUGCUGUCAUUCUGUGCAAUGUCUUUUUGAAUUUUUAGAAACCUCUUAAACCUACUAAAAGACUUGUCUUGUGCACCUCUCAUCUGGAUUUUCUAAAUUAACACAAAUACAGUGCCUUGCAAAAGUGCAAUAUCUUAUCCUGUGCAAUUAUUCAGCGCCAUCACAAUGCACUUUAUCAUCACCCACCAGUGUUAUGGUUCUCAUCCCUUUUUUUGUGCAACAUGUUCCUCUUGUGCAAAUGUUUGUUUGUGGCCCUACUGUGACUGUCUACAUGUGUUUAUAAUGCAAUAUGUAAGUCUUUAUUUAUUGUCGUCUUGUGUGCAUUUACUGUAACAUGCUUAUUGUACAUACCAGCACAUUGGAGUGUGGGGAAAUGUAAUUUCUUUCAGCUGUGCACUGCUUGUUGUAUGGUUUGAAUGACAAAAGUUUGAGAUUGCGAGGGCAUGUCUUGUGCACAGCCCUCUUCAGGUCACCCUUCAGAUUUUCAAUUGGAUUUAGGUCUGGGCUCUGGCUGGGCCGUUCCAAAACUUUAAUUUUCUUCUGGUGAAGCCAUUUUUUUGUUGAUUUCGAUGUAUGCUUCGGGUCAUUGUUGUGCUGAAAGAUGAAAUUCAUCUUCAGCUUUCUAGCAGACACCUGAAGGUUUUGGGCCAAAAUUGACUGGUAUUUAGAACUGUUCAUAAUUCCGUCCACCUUGACUAAAGCCCCUGUUCCAGAUGAAGAAAAAAAAACACCAAAACAUGAUGCUGGCUUCACCGUGGGUAUGGUGUUCUUCUGGUGAUGCGCAGUGUUGUUUUGCACCAAACAUACCUUUUGGAAUUGUGGCCAAAAAGUUCAACCUUGGUUUCAUUAGAACAGAACACAUUUGCCACAUGCUUGUGGGAGAGCUGAUGUAUUUUUUUUUUUUGCAAAAUUUAGCCGGGCCUGGAUGUUUUUCUUUGACCCUACCUCAUAGUCCAGACAUACCGUAUGGAGAAUACGGGAGAUUGUCAUCACAUGUAGUACACAACCAGUACUUGCCAGAAAUUCCUGUAGCUCCUUCAGUGUUGCUGUCGGCCUCUUGCCAGCCUCCCUGACCAGUUUUCAUCUCGUCUUUCAUCAAUUUUGGAGGGACGUCCAGUUCUCGGUAAUGUCACUGUUGUCCCAUAUUUUCUCCACUUCUUGAAGACUGUCUUCACUGUGCUCCAUGGUAUAUCUAAUGCUGUGGAAAUGCUUUUACACGCUUCUCCUGACUCAUACCUUUCAACAAUGAGAUCCCUCUGAUGCUUUAUAAGCUCUCUGUGAACUCUGGCUUUUGCUGGAGGCUGCAACUGAGUAAAUGUCUGAAAUUUAUUUGGGGUUAAUCAAUCAGUGUCAUUUUAAUUGACUGCAGGUGUGAACCCAAAAAGACUGAAUGCUGUAAUUAAAUCAAAAGGUGCUUCAACAAACUAUUAGUUUAAGGGUGUGCACACUUAUGCAACCAGCUUAUUGUACAUUUUAUUUUUUUCCCCCUAACAUUUUUGUUUAUCAAUUGAAUUGUACAGGCAAUAGGUCACAUUAAAGGUGGGAAAAGUUUUGAAA